rnacentral:lncRNA from 1 species
CAUGGGGCCUACUAUUUUUUAACAUUUUUAUUUUCUUUUUAGGAUAAUAUGAACAUGAUUAACUAAGUAAACUAUUUUAAAUAAUUGAAAGGAAAAAGAUAACUACCAAGUUUACCUCUUAGCAAGGCGUUCGGUGUUUUUAAGUCCUCCGAACGGGACUCUCCGUUUUCUCAAUUGUCCUGGGAUUCGUUGGGUGGCGUAGUCGGUACUUCCGGCGGCGCCUCCUCUUCAUGUAUAGUUAUCGUCUCUUUCCAUUCCUAACUCGGUGCCAUGGUCUCCUCUAGAUAAUUCUGUUUGAACUGUAUGUCUUGUGACCGUAUCACUUCUCCUUCGUAGUCUGCCCAUCCAUCCUUGAUGAUCUGCCUCCUCUGGUUGGGGUUGUGUUGUUUUCUUCUUGUCCUGACCUGCUUAGAAUCUUCAACGAUAUAGUUAGGGUCAGUAAUAUAGCGGCGUACCUUCUUUGAGGGGAAGUGCAUAUAGACUUCUCUAGUUCUAAUUUAGAUGAUUGCCUUAACGGUACUAAGGAACGGUCUUCCAAGGAUGAUGGGUGGAUCGUAUUCGUCUUCUCCCAUGUCAAUAACCUGAAAGUCUGUGUAGACAAAAUGAUCGUCUAUUUUGACAGGGACAUCAGUUACUAUUCCUUUAACUUCUCGAAAUGUCUCAUCUACCAUCUGGAGUUGAAUGUAUGUUGGUUUUAAGGGCAUGGAUCCGAACAAGAGCCGAUAGGUGAGUGCGGCCAUUAUGUUGACGCCCGAUGCGGUGUCACAAGUCAUCUUGUAGAAGUUGUAUCCAUUUAUAGAGCAAUAGAUGCUUGGCAUUCCUGGGCC